AAGAUAUUUUAAAUGGAUGUCUACGAGAAAACCAUGCAAAAUCAAAAAAAAAUUAUGAAAGGGGUUGUGGAAUUUUCAGCUGAUUUUGGGUUCCUAGUAAAGUAUUAAGUACAUCUAAUAGUUCUAUGGUUAAAAAAUGACAAUUUAUCUCAAAUUAUGUGAAUACAGGGCAAUUCUAGUUUAGUACCAAAUUUGCUGGAAAAUGUUGUUGAAAAUGGACAUUUUUGGGGUUUUUUUAUUGAAUAGUUCAAAGUAUU
rnacentral:lncRNA from 1 species